GUCCCUUCGAGGACAUCCGAUAAAAUUGGAACGAUACAAAGAAGAUUAGCAUGGCCCACUGCGCAAGGAUGACACGCACAAAUCGAGAAAUAAUCCAAACUUUU
rfam:Solanum lycopersicum cultivar Heinz 1706 chromosome 12, whole genome shotgun sequence.